GGUAACAUCAGUGCUUCUGUUGAGCACAGUGGUCACUCAAAAGAGGCAGAGUGAGUUCAGCCUAUCAUUUGAGAUCCGAGUAUGAUUGGGGAAAUAUCCUGAAAUAGUCUAUGAUUUGAAGAAAUGGAUAGAUGGCUAGAAUAACAUGCUAGAUGGUAGUCAAGUUACUAACUGCAGAAUUGAUUUGAUAAAAUUCUCAUCGUGUCUCCUGACUUAGGAGAAAUAUUGGGUCUGAUGAAUGGGUAAAAUUCCCAGGUGAAAAGAAUUUGGUCUGUAAGAUUUGGCAGCACCCUGAGGUUUGCCAUAUCUGAUGGCCUGGCUUUAGUGGCAGCACCUAGUGAAGGCCCAGGUGUCCUUCUGACAACCUUUACCACCUACCGUUUUGUCCUUACUUAUGUUGAAUCACUACACACAGGCUGUUGAAUUCAGCUGUCUGUGGAGAAAUUAUACCAACCACAUGGUUAGACAGAAGGAAUACAAUAUAUUGCUUAAUUUGUAUCUGAAAGCUAAGCAACAUGGAAAAAAAUCAAGCAUGCUCAGUCACUUCCAUGAGGACAAACGAAGACACUUCAAGGAGGACAUUGACAUGGAUCUGCCAGCUUUCUAAGACUUUCCCCAGAUUCAAGUCCAGUCACAUCAAGUUGCCUUAUUAAAGGGUCUGCCCACUCAAAAGGAGAAAGUGCAAAAGAUGCUCAGCAAGGGUAGCAAACGCAGUCAGAUGAUACUUCCUGACAGCAUCCAAGAGCAAGUCUCACCACCACAUCUGUCAAUAAAAAAGAAAACAAGGAGCUGCCAAUUUGUCUAUUUAUAGGUGCCAAUAAAAUCCUGCACAGAACUUUAGUCAACAAGACUAUUUCAGAAGGGGUGGCCAACAGUGUGGCCUUUCACUGGCAAGGGCCACCUUUGUCAUCACUUAAGAAAGAAAACCUGCCAAGUUUUCUGUGAGGCCCUCAAUAAAUCUUACUGAGUAUUUCCAUACACA
rnacentral:lncRNA from 1 species